rnacentral:rRNA from 1 species
AUUGAACGCUGGCGGCAGGCCUAACACAUGCAAGUCGAGCGAGUGGCGGACGGGUGAGUAAUGUAUGGGGAACUGCCCGAUAGAGGGGGAUAACUACUGGAAACGGUAGCUAAUACCGCAUACUAUCGGAUGAACCCAGAGGGGAUUAGCUCGUUGGUGGGGUAACGGCUCACUAAGGCGACGAUCCCUAGCUGGUCUGAGAGGAUGACCAGCAACACUGGGACUGAGACACGGUCCAGACGCCUACGGGAGGCAGCAGUGGGGAAUAUUGCACAAUGGGCGCAAGCCUGAUGCAGCCAUGCCGCGUGUAUGAAGAAGGCCCUAGGGUUGUAAAGUACUUUCAGCCGGGAGGCGUUACUGGCAGAAGAAGCACCGGCUAACUCCGUGCCAGCAGCCGCGGUAAUUC